rnacentral:lncRNA from 1 species
CUGCCUCGUUCCUUGUGCGAGGUCACCAGCCCUGUCACACGGCUCCCAGCUAGUGCACGCUCCAGGGCCGCACAGCUCCUGCCUGCUCCUGAGCACGGCCAGGACACCCCUUUGCUUAGGUGCAGGUGGGAUUAAUUGUAAUCCCCUUGCAUUGGCCCUAAUGACAUUCUCCUGAGUGUCAUUAGCCUUAACUGCAAACUGGGAUGGGCUCUAUAUUACCCACCCCUCCAGGGCCCCCUGGGUCUGGGUGGAAGGAUGGUGCUGCUGGUGCCUGCAGAGAUCCUGUGCCUGGGAGGACCUGCAACGCUGGGAUGUCUGCACAGGGAGAAGGUAUGAGGUGGCCUAGAGACUGUCUGGACUGCAUAAAAAAGGAACAGAGAGUCAUCCUGUAUCAGCUCACACCGAGGAGGAAGGCUGUGGCACUGCAUGAGGAAGGAAGAAUACUACAUCUUACAAAGAUUUCUUUGCUGUGAAUUUAAAGCAUUUUGAAAUAAACACAUAACAUGCCAAGGUGAAUCCCA